rnacentral:rRNA from 1 species
AUUGAACGCUGGCGGCAUGCUUUACACAUGCAAGUCGAACGGUAACAGGCCGCAAGGUGCUGACGAGUGGCGAACGGGUGAGUAAUGCAUCGGAACGUGCCCAGUCGUGGGGGAUAACGCAGCGAAAGCUGUGCUAAUACCGCAUACGAUCUAUGGAUGAAAGCGGGGGACCGUAAGGCCUCGCGCGAUUGGAGCGGCCGAUGUCAGAUUAGGUAGUUGGUGGGGUAAAGGCCUACCAAGCCGACGAUCUGUAGCUGGUCUGAGAGGACGACCAGCCACACUGGGACUGAGACACGGCACAGACUCCUACGGGAGGCAGCAGUGGGGAAUUUUGGACAAUGGGAGCAAGCCUGAUCCAGCAAUGCCGCGUGCAGGAAGAAGGCCUUCGGGUUGUAAACUGCUUUUGUACGGAACGAAACGGCCUGGGUUAAUACCCUGGGCUAAUGACGGUACCGUAAGAAUAAGCACCGGCUAACUACGUGCCAGCAGCCGCGGUAAGAC